GCUCCGUUGGUGAACCAGCGGAGGGAUCAUUACCGAGUGCAAACUCAUAACCCUUUGUGAACCAAUAUCUGUUGCUUCGGCGGCUCGCUCUCGGGCGAGCCCGCCGGUAAUAUCAGUAUCUCUGUUUGAACCCGACGAUACUUCUGAGUGUUCUUAGCGAACAGUUAAAACUUUUAACAACGGAUCUCUUGGCUCUA
rnacentral:misc_RNA from 1 species